UACGAAGGGGGCUAGCGUUGCUCGGAAUCACUGGGCGUAAAGGGUGCGUAGGCGGCUUUCUAAGUCAGGGGUGAAAUCCUGGAGCUCAACUCCAGAACUGCCUUUGAUACUGGAGAGCUUGAGUCCGGAAGAGGUGAGUGGAACUCCGAGUGUAGAGGUGAAAUUCGUAGAUAUUCGGAAGAACACCAGUGGCGAAGGCGGCUCACUGGUCCGGUACUGACGCUGAGGUGCGAAAGCGUGGGGAGCAAACAGG
rnacentral:rRNA from 1 species